rnacentral:ribozyme from 1 species
AAAAACAACAACAAAAAAGAAGAAUAAAAAAGAACGAGUUUUUUUUUUUUUUUUGGUUGGGGUAAAAAGUUUUAAUUUUUUUUUU